UUGGUGCAUCUCAUUCUUUGGCGUAGACUUCACAGCGGUACCAACAUUGAAAUCCAGAAAUACGAUGUUGCUGCCAUAUAUUUCCAUUUAGAGAUGUAUUUCUUAAACUCUACACUGUGGAUAGUAAAUAAUAGUUAACCAAUAGCUAACAUUUUACUUUACCAACGGUUAACUAAAAGCUAUGAAUUCGGCCCUUAAAUUUAUACUUGUUAUUAGAGAUUUUUGAAAAUAUCGCGGACGCACUUCGUUAUGGUACUAACAAAUAAAAUUACCAUACAAGACGGAGGUAACCAAUUCACAAAUGGAAAAUUCUGUUCCAAGGAUAGCAACAUUCAUCAUAUACAACUUUUAUAUAUGUAUAUACACAAUAAAAUGUGUAAGACUGAAAUGCACAUACUGACAAUUAAACUUUUAAAAGUUGGCUCAAUUGAAUCGGCAUUCGAAGAAAAUUUUGAAGAACUUCAAAACAGGAAAAAUCGAGGAACCAUUAAAUAUAUUUGAUAUUUGAAAUUUCAUGCAGCCACACAUAUUUCCUCGGCAAAUCUUAUAACUUGCACUGUCAGUCUUUGAACAAUUGCGCCCAAGCUUCAUGGGACCAGUUGUAAAAUCCUUCAAACAUCUCAAUUCAAAUCUGCCAACAACACUAACCCAUUCACAGGCUAGUUCGUGCAACAAUUUGAACGCGCUAUACCAAAGAUAGACAAGCAAGAAAAAACGCGACACAAACGCAUAUUAGGGAUUGGAGCUAGUAAUCUCAAUAAGGAAAUGCAUUUGGACUCCGUGUUAUUUGAAAAUUUAGUUUUCAACACAAGCGACAACCACAAAAUGGGCGUUCGAAUGGUCGAUUGGUUAUACUUACGUGUUUACAGCAGGGAUUAGAAACUUUGGCGAAAAGCUCGCGCAGAGUUUGGGUGAACCUGCUACAUAUGUAGCGCAAACAUCGGUUCAUGUCCCUCUGUUUAAAUGAGUUAAGCAUCCACCCCCUCUACACGGUUAAACUGGCGCAUCCUAAUACAGCAGCGCAAUUCACCACAGCUGAUGGCACUACAACACAACUCACCACACCUAUACCCCUACCCACUAAACGAAGUGACAAGUGAAGUGAAAGUGACGUGUUUUCUGGUGCUCCGCUUAUGGCACCAACUACUAGUGGAAAUACCCACAAAUUAUUUCCCAAGUGCGCGAAAACGCAGUGCCCACAUCAUCCAAGACUAAUCACUAAACUGAGCAGGUGCUCUCGUGUAAAAGAAGUAAGUGAAAAAAUAUAUUUUAAAUAUCUAGUUUUUUUUUUCUUGUGCGAAGGUCACAGAAAAGAGAAUUCGCAAAGAGCGCAUAUUCUCUCUCUCCCUUCCACAAAAAACAACACAUCCCACAACCCACGUUCCACAAUAAAAGAAAUUAACGAGGGAUUCAUUCCUGAGAAAUUUACGUGAUCACCAGUACUAAAGGAUUGCUGCAGGCGUAGCUGAGGAAAUGUCAGCUAAAGCCAAACAAGCAAAUACCUUUACUGGUAAUAAGGAGGAUGUUAGCCCAUUCACUCGGAGCAAUAAGACUCCCCGAUCGCCGGACCGACAGACAACAAUGCCCAUAUUACAGAGCAUUAAAGUUGCUAAACCAUCUGCCUGUGAGGUGAUUCCUGUGGACAAUGGCUUAGCUUCGACUAACGACUCAAGCGUAGUGUCUGUAAAUAAAACCAAUAGCAGUGAUUUGGUGGUAUCAAUGAGCGAAGGAGAGAACGCGCUCUCCGCUCUGGGAGUGCUAAUAGAUGAGCUAAUCUCUCUCACGCACAGCCAGAAGCAAAGACAUGUCAACCAGCACAUGCGAAAUAUAAUAGAUCAAAUAGCAAAACUACAAAAACAAGCAACAAGAGAACUUAGAGAGGCGGCAUCUCUCCCAAUUACCCAACCGAAAAGAGGCCGCGCAAAGAGCUCUGAAGAACCAAUAGCAGAGGAGCAGACUCAACAACAAGCGAAACGAACUUGUUUUAAUUCGCCAAAAACCCGGGCGAGAACAAAUCUAAUUGGUCAG